GGUUAAGCGACUAAGCGUACACGGUGGAUGCCCUGGCAGUCAGAGGCGAUGAAGGACGUGCUAAUCUGCGAUAAGCGUCGGUAAGGUGAUAUGAACCGUUAUAACCGGCGAUUUCCGAAUGGGGAAACCCAGUGUGAUUCGUCACACUAUCAUUAACUGAAUCCAUAGGUUAAUGAGGCGAACCGGGGAACUGAAACAUCUAAGUACCCCGAGGAAAAGAAAUCAACCGAGAUUCCCCAGUAGCGGCGAGCGAACGGGGAGGAGCCCAGAGCCUGAAUCAGUGUGUGUGUUAGUGGAAGCGUCUGGAAAGGCGCGCGAUACAGGGUGACAGCCCCGUACACAAAAAUGCACAUGCUGUGAGCUCGAUGAGUAGGGCGGGACACGUGGUAUCCUGUCUGAAUAUGGGGGACCAUCCUCCAAGGCUAAAUACUCCUGACUGACCGAUAGUGAACCAGUACCGUGAGGGAAAGGCGAAAAGAACCCCGGCGAGGGAGUGAAAAAGAACCUGAAACCGUGUACGUACAAGCAGUGGGAGCACAGAGCAAUCGUGUGACUGCGUACCUUUUGUAUAAUGGGUCAGCGACUUAUAUUCUGUAGCAAGGUUAACCGAAUAGGGGAGCCGAAGGGAAACCGAGUCUUAACUGGGCGUUAAGUUGCAGGGUAUAGACCCGAAACCCGGUGAUCUAGCCAUGGGCAGGUUGAAGGUUGGGUAACACUAACUGGAGGACCGAACCGACUAAUGUUGAAAAAUUAGCGGAUGACUUGUGGCUGGGGGUGAAAGGCCAAUCAAACCGGGAGAUAGCUGGUUCUCCCCGAAAGCUAUUUAGGUAGCGCCUCGUGAAUUCAUCUCCGGGGGUAGAGCACUGUUUCGGCAAGGGGGUCAUCCCGACUUACCAACCCGAUGCAAACUGCGAAUACCGGAGAAUGUUAUCACGGGAGACACACGGCGGGUGCUAACGUCCGUCGUGAAGAGGGAAACAACCCAGACCGCCAGCUAAGGUCCCAAAGUCAUGGUUAAGUGGGAAACGAUGUGGGAAGGCCCAGACAGCCAGGAUGUUGGCUUAGAAGCAGCCAUCAUUUAAAGAAAGCGUAAUAGCUCACUGGUCGAGUCGGCCUGCGCGGAAGAUGUAACGGGGCUAAACCAUGCACCGAAGCUGCGGCAGCGACGCUUAUGCGUUGUUGGGUAGGGGAGCGUUCUGUAAGCCUGCGAAGGUGUGCUGUGAGGCAUGCUGGAGGUAUCAGAAGUGCGAAUGCUGACAUAAGUAACGAUAAAGCGGGUGAAAAGCCCGCUCGCCGGAAGACCAAGGGUUCCUGUCCAACGUUAAUCGGGGCAGGGUGAGUCGACCCCUAAGGCGAGGCCGAAAGGCGUAGUCGAUGGGAAACAGGUUAAUAUUCCUGUACUUGGUGUUACUGCGAAGGGGGGACGGAGAAGGCUAUGUUGGCCGGGCGACGGUUGUCCCGGUUUAAGCGUGUAGGCUGGUUUUCCAGGCAAAUCCGGAAAAUCAAGGCUGAGGCGUGAUGACGAGGCACUACGGUGCUGAAGCAACAAAUGCCCUGCUUCCAGGAAAAGCCUCUAAGCAUCAGGUAACAUCAAAUCGUACCCCAAACCGACACAGGUGGUCAGGUAGAGAAUACCAAGGCGCUUGAGAGAACUCGGGUGAAGGAACUAGGCAAAAUGGUGCCGUAACUUCGGGAGAAGGCACGCUGAUAUGUAGGUGAAGUCCCUCGCGGAUGGAGCUGAAAUCAGUCGAAGAUACCAGCUGGCUGCAACUGUUUAUUAAAAACACAGCACUGUGCAAACACGAAAGUGGACGUAUACGGUGUGACGCCUGCCCGGUGCCGGAAGGUUAAUUGAUGGGGUUAGCGCAAGCGAAGCUCUUGAUCGAAGCCCCGGUAAACGGCGGCCGUAACUAUAACGGUCCUAAGGUAGCGAAAUUCCUUGUCGGGUAAGUUCCGACCUGCACGAAUGGCGUAAUGAUGGCCAGGCUGUCUCCACCCGAGACUCAGUGAAAUUGAACUCGCUGUGAAGAUGCAGUGUACCCGCGGCAAGACGGAAAGACCCCGUGAACCUUUACUAUAGCUUGACACUGAACAUUGAGCCUUGAUGUGUAGGAUAGGUGGGAGGCUUUGAAGUGUGGACGCCAGUCUGCAUGGAGCCGACCUUGAAAUACCACCCUUUAAUGUUUGAUGUUCUAACGUGGACCCGUAAUCCGGGUUGCGGACAGUGUCUGGUGGGUAGUUUGACUGGGGCGGUCUCCUCCUAAAGAGUAACGGAGGAGCACGAAGGUUGGCUAAUCCUGGUCGGACAUCAGGAGGUUAGUGCAAUGGCAUAAGCCAGCUUGACUGCGAGCGUGACGGCGCGAGCAGGUGCGAAAGCAGGUCAUAGUGAUCCGGUGGUUCUGAAUGGAAGGGCCAUCGCUCAACGGAUAAAAGGUACUCCGGGGAUAACAGGCUGAUACCGCCCAAGAGUUCAUAUCGACGGCGGUGUUUGGCACCUCGAUGUCGGCUCAUCACAUCCUGGGGCUGAAGUAGGUCCCAAGGGUAUGGCUGUUCGCCAUUUAAAGUGGUACGCGAGCUGGGUUUAGAACGUCGUGAGACAGUUCGGUCCCUAUCUGCCGUGGGCGCUGGAGAACAUUUAAAGUGGUACGCGAGCUGGGUUUAGAACGUCGUGAGACAGUUCGGUCCCUAUCUGCCGUGGGCGCUGGAGAUGAGGGGGGCUGCUCCUAGUACGAGAGGACCGGAGUGGACGCAUCACUGGUGUUCGGGUUGUCAUGCCAAUGGCACUGCCCGGUAGCUAAAUGCGGAAGAGAUAAGUGCUGAAAGCAUCUAAGCACGAAACUUGCCCCGAGAUGAGUUCUCCCUGACUCCUUGAGAGUCCUGAAGGAACGUUGAAGACGACGACGUUGAUAGGCCGGGUGUGUAAGCGCAGCGAUGCGUUGAGCUAACCGGUACUAAUGAACCGUGAGGCUUAACCUU
rnacentral:rRNA from 1 species